UCCGUUUUGUCAACGGCAGUCUCGCUAGAGUGCUCUUGCGUAGCAACUAACAAUAAGGGUUGCGCUCGUUGCGGGACUUAACCCAACAUCUCACGACACGAGCUGACGACAACCAUGCACCACCUGUCACCGGUGCCCCGAAGGGAAAGGACAUCUCUGCCCCGGUCACCGGGAUGUCAAACCCUGGUAAGGUUCUUCGCGUUGCUUCGAAUUAAACCACAUAAUCCACUGCUUGUGCGGGCCCCCGUCAAUUCCUUUGAGUUUCAACCUUGCGGCCGUACUCCCCAGGUGGAAUACUUAUUGUGUUAACUGCGGCACGGAGGGGGUCAGUCCCCCCACACCUAGUAUUCAUCGUUUACGGCGUGGACUAC
rnacentral:misc_RNA from 1 species